GAGCGUGUAAUAGACAGAAACUCUUUUGUUCGCCUAAAUAUAUAGAUAUGAUAUGAUGCUUUGCAAAAUUGUGCUUUGUAUGUAAAGUCGGGAGGAAGUUGAAGGCCGCUAAAUCGCUGAGGCUCGCAUAAUAAUUAACAGCCUAGCAGAGAUUCCUGGAAUGCCAGGACAAGAUAAGCCUUAAAGGGAAAACAGUGAGAAAAGAGACGCCGGAGAAAGGACACGUAACCCGGAAGCCGAGGCACAUAAAAGGAGAAACACGGAAGCGGGAAGCGCGGCAGUUUCGCGGAGAAGAAAUUUUUACCUUCUCCCCUGUCGCCUGGCGCCGACUUUUGCUUAUUGCUGGCUUGCUGUAAUUAAUAAAACCUUUCCUUAUA